rnacentral:lncRNA from 1 species
AAGCCCAGCUGGACAAUCUGAAGCUCCUUUGGAGAAUAGCAAGGAUGAAGGUUUCUACUAUGAAACUUUCCUAGUUCCCCUCUGAUUUAUUACUCAUUUCACAUCCUUGCUUCUUGCAUGCAUGUUCAUGACAAACAACCAGAUACAAGUAUUACAUUGUGAGCCACCAAAUGUGUGAUUCCAAAAUAAGGUGUUGAUGCAUGAUAUACGUACACUUUACAAUUUAUGACAAAAACCAGAUACAAGUAUUACAUUGCUGAGCCGCCAAAUGUGUUAUUCCAAAAUAAGGUGUUGAUGCAUGAUAUACGUGCACUUUACAUGUUAUCUGUGGAAAAGAUGGAUGGUAAGAAAAGGAACUUCUAGUAUAGUUCAUGUUAAAAGUUUGGUAUAUUAUUCUUCUGUUGCUUCAUCCUAUUGCAUCUUUGUCAGUCCUUACACAGCUCCAGUUUUACGUAUAGAGUGCUUUCUUUUGACCAACACAUGUGCUUUUAGGUUUGACUGACAUAUUGAGAGAGAAUCAUCUUCUUGCUUUGGGCAAAUCUUGAAAUUUACUUAAGGACAUAAUGUCGUGUUAUGUGAGAAAGACAAAUUAAUGACGUGU